AUUGAACGCUGGCGGCAUGCCUUACACAUGCAAGUCGAACGGUAACAGGUUAAGCUGACGAGUGGCGAACGGGUGAGUAAUGUAUCGGAACGUGCCCAGUCGUGGGGGAUAACUGCUCGAAAGAGCAGCUAAUACCGCAUACGACCUGAGGGGGAAAGCGGGGGAUCGCAAGACCUCGCGCGAUUGGAGCGGCCGAUAUCAGAUUAGGUAGUUGGUGAGGUAAAGGCUCACCAAGCCGACGAUCUGUAGCUGGUCUGAGAGGACGACCAGCCACACUGGGGCUGAGACACGGCCCAGACUCCUACGGGAGGCAGCAGUGGGGAAUUUUGGACAAUGGGCGCAAGCCUGAUCCAGCCAUGCCGCGUGCGGGAAGAAGGCCUUCGGGUUGUAAACCGCUUUUGUCAGGGAAGAAAAGGUUCUGGCUAAUACCUGGGACUCAUGACGGUACCUGAAGAAUAAGCACCGGCUAACUACGUG
rnacentral:rRNA from 1 species